ensembl:snRNA U6 U6 spliceosomal RNA
GCGCUCACUUCGGCAGCACAUAUACUAAAAUUGGAAUGAUACAGAGAAGAUUAGCAUGGCCCCUGUGCAAGGAUUACACACAAAUUCAUGAAGUGUUCCAUAUUUUC